rnacentral:sRNA from 1 species
GCUGGGUGUGGUGGUACACACCUGUAAUCCCAGUGACUUGUGAGGCUGAGGCAGGAGGAUCGGAAGUUUCCUGCCAGCCUCAGCAAUUUAGGUAGGCCCUGAGCAAGUUAGUGAGAACCUGUCUCAA